GUAAGGAAUAUUGCACAAUGGGCGAAAGCCUGAUGCAGCGACGCCGCGUGGGCGAUGAAGGCCUUCGGGUUGUAAAGCCCUUUUCUGGGAGAAGAGAAAGGACGGUAUCCCAGGAAUAAGCGUCGGCUAACUACGUGCCAGCAGCCGCGGUAAAACGUAGGACGCGAGCGUUAUCCGGAUUCACUGGGCGUAAAGUGCGUUGAGGCGGUUCUGUAAGUUGGACGUGAAAGCCCCAGGCUUAACUUGGGGAGGUCGUUCAAUACUGCAGGACUUGAGGACAGCAGAGGGAGGCGGAAUUCCCGGUGUAGUGGUGAAAUGCGUAGAUAUCGGGAGGAACACCAGUGGCGAAGGCGGCUUCCUGGGCUGUUUCUGACGCUGAAGGCGAAAGCCAGGGGAGCGAACGGGAUUAGAUACCCGGGUAGUCC
rnacentral:rRNA from 1 species